rnacentral:lncRNA from 1 species
AAAGAAUCUGAAUGCCCCCCAUACCAUCUCUGUACUUAAAAUUGUAGGAAACCUACAUGCUCAGUAACACAGACGACAAGACUGCAAGACUCACAGUCGUUAUACACUGUACAUCUUACAUCAAAUACUAUCUUGCGCGUGUUAUUUCUUAGGCACAACAUAAUUCCACAUGAGCCUCAGUCUGAGAAGACGUGCUAAUUUGCCCUAUUCUAUUUUUUCACAGGCCAUCACACCAACCUUGGAAUAUAGUUGGAUAGCAAAGUUAUGCAAAGAGUCCCUGAGUACUACAAGAGCUGGUCUACACACAGAGUGUGGUCCUCUGACUUUUCAUGGGGCAUGCUUGUCUGACAGUCUAUGGAGCAUAUACUUCUGGCCUGUCCUUGGAGCGUGCUCGUCUGACUCACCAUGGAGCAUGCUCAUCUGACUCACCAUUGAGCAUGCUCCCCCACCUAUGCAUAGAAUGUGCUCUUGAGAACUUGCAUCUAUCUGCACACAGAGAAACAGAUGUGCUUUCAUUUUCCUAAGCAAAAUAACAGGAAGUAUCAUCAUUCUUGAGGUCACAGUAUUCAUAACAGGAAUGUGUGGAUAGUCACGUGAGAUCUAUUGGGAAGCAUGGUGUCUGGUUCAGUCCCUAUCUUGAGGGAGAUAAAAUAAUCUCAGUUCUCAAAUGGUGUCAGUCACCGUAAGGACCCAAUCCAAGAGGACUAAACACUUCUGUAGUCCCUUAUCAUCUGAGCUUGAAAGGGGCCUCUGCCUCUUCAGCCAGCUGGGCAGCUCACAGAAAUUCUAUCCUUGCAAACGGAGAUAUAGGUACCAGAGAAGCAGCUCUUCCCUCUGAUUAGUGGAACAGCUAUGACAGAAAUUGCCUUUUCCCAAAGACACAAAGUGACAUAUUAAAGGAGAAGCCUCUCUUUUGGUGCCAUGGAGUCAUUUAAAAAUAAAUGUAGAAACUCCAAAGAAUGUCUGUUUAAGCACAGCUGUAAUUCAGGGACACAAGACCAUUCACUUCAGCCAUCUCUCUGCCGGAUUCACUUCUUGAUCCUCAGAUUAUGUAGGAAUCAAAUCCAGUACUAUCUUUACUUUCAAAGUCAGUUUGCCUGUUUUGCUGGUGACUACAUGGCAUUUGACAGGCUCAGAAUAAGACAACAUUUCUUCUCCCAAAACAUACUGAAGGUGUCUAAUUGGAUCACAAGAGAGAUAUGGGAAGACAUUCCACCUUGGUAAGUAAACGUGGGGUAUGUGCUGAGCAAGAGGCUUCUAAAUCAAGUUGUUGUCCAGGAAAGCAUUCUGAAGACUAUUGCUUCAUGCCUUGAGGGAUACAAAGGGUCAUUUGUAGACUGGUGGAAAAAUUUGCCCACCACAGGGAACGGGACUAGUGUUGUUCUACAUCAUGAAAUGUAGGAGGUGGCAUUUGACAGCUGGUAGCAUAGCCAGAGGUGAAUAUAACCUAAGUUACGUUGGAAAGUAAAAAUGCCAUUGAGUCAGUACAAUUUGCAGUUGAAGGUAGAAGUCUAGAGUCAAGACAAAACUGGGUUUAAAGAUAAACUUUGACAUACACCAGUCACGUGACAGUAAUCACUUAAAAAACAAACAAACAAACAAACAAACCAAAAAAAAAAAAAAAAAAACCAAACACUCUUCAAGUUUAGUUUCCUUAGCACAGUGUUCUCCUGAUUUGGUUAUCUAUUUAUGUCCAGCAACUCCUCUCAAAUGAAAUGCCUUAAGACAACACAUAUUUAGUAAUUCUCAGGGUCAUUAUGAAUUAAGAAUGUGUUAUGGCUUAAAUGAGGCCCUUGCUUCAAGGGUCUAUCACAUGGCUGCAACCAAAGUCAACCAUGGUUGUGGUGCUAUCUCAAGACUCCAGAAGCUCAUUUACAGGUCUCUUGGCAGAGUUUGAUUCUUGCUGGCUGGUGACCAGAGACUCUCUGGAGUUCUUUACUAUGUGUUGCCCUCCUAAGGCAGUAUAUAGCUUCCUCAGAACCAGUGGAGAUAUGGUGUUGACUGGCAAGACAGAAAGGCCAUUGAAGUGAAUUCUGAUCACUAUGGCCCCAUUCUGUUGGUCAGAAUUCACAAGCUAGCCUACCCUUCUCAGGUUGGCAGGGGUGGGUUGUUGGAGAGUAGGAGUGCAUGGGAG